CAAAAAAAGCGCCGGGACCAUGCUGGCAGAGGCAUGGUUGACGAGGUUGGGGAGCAUCGAAUUAUUCGGCGGAUGCCCCACGGUAGACAUAUCGUAAGCUGAUUUUCAAAAACACGGAGUAAUCCGUGAACAAAAAAA
rnacentral:ncRNA from 1 species